UGCAGGGGUUGGGGGAAUGUGGAGCCUAGCCACGUGGGGCAGCCUGACUGGAGGAGGAGAGGGAGAGAAACAACAAACAAAUGUGACAAAUUUUUGAAAGGAUUCUACAUUGUUUCUUUCACAAAUGAGUUCUCCUGCUUUGUUGUCAUACAACUUGACAUCCCACUGAUUACAAUAUGUGGUUUUCCUUUGCUCAUCAAUUUGAACUGGUGAUAUACAAGGACAUAGAGGACCAAUAGCCAGAGGGUGAAAGAUCUCAACUCUUACCUCUAUCUAAUGGCUGGUAUUCAGCCAUGAACCCAAGAUUUGUAGCAGAAGAGACUCUGAAUUUGACAUAGAGAUAAUUCCGUGUGGACUGCACUGCUGAUGGUAUAUCUGUGCCACAGUAUUUUGCCAAAAGAGGAGAAUCUGUGCUGCUGCCAUCUCUGACCUGAAGACAAUGUAUUCAAAACAGCCCAUGAAAACUUGUUUCUGUUACUGUUAAGUAGUUAUAAAAUGUAGACGAAUUGACUCAACACACACAAACUACAAAAUAGUCUUGGAAACCAGUAGGAAGAGCUAAAAGGUCAAAAGCCACCAUGGAAAAGACAGUGGCUCAUCCACCUCAUUAAACUAUUCAGCAGCUCAGAUCCUAUCCAACAUUAAUACAUAUUUGUGUCACCAGCACAGUGGCCUUAAAGCUGCUGUGAAGGGGCAGCUGAACAUUCUUCUGGCAUAAAGGAAUCAGAUGGAGUAAAGCUGACAUUCCAGCUGCCUGGAGCUCUUCACCAGUAGGUAGCACAUGGGAUACAAGGAGAGGAGAAUCAGGCCUUAUCUAUCCAGAUAUAGUUAUGCAUCAAUGAUAGCUCCUAUUAUAGAAAAUAUAGAUGGAGAAAGGUCAUGUUAUCAAAGGAGCAUUCAAAAGAAGAAGGUUGACUCACCUAGUGAGUCAGCAAAAGAUUUCAUUUGUCCAACGAAAUCGGUGUUUAUGUACCUAAUUACCUAUUCACCCACGUUUGCUUAUUGACAGACAUAGGUACAUGAUGGAGGCGUGCAUAUGAUAUUUGUUUGUAAUUCACAAUAAGUAUGUACUAAUAUGCUUUACCUCCACAUAAUCUGAGUCACAGGUAGUGCUAUUUCGAAUGCCAAAAUCGAUAAAAUUAAGAAUGACUGCAUUGUCUUCUGGCUGGAAAAUGAUCCACUCACAGGUCUUCUGAUGAGGGAAAGCCCUGGGAUAGUAUGGGGAACGAAUAACACCGUCUCCAGACAAUACACCCCCACAGGCUGCAAUGAAAAAUUAAGAGUUAGCAGCUGGAAUGAAGGUUUACAAGGAAUGUACAUUGGGAUGUAGAUUAAAUGUCAUUUUGGGGGGAGGAAGCAAAUAACCCUUGAAAACACACAUUUCCAUCUACUGUGGAUAUUUCAGGUAGGUUUAAGAGGGGGCUGUUUGUUUAAAAAGUCGCUGUUAUGUGACUAAACCUAAACCUGCAUAACUGAAUGUGAAACAGCAGUGAAAUCAUGUCCAUGAAAACUCCAAAUGAAAAUACACAUUUGUCUCCUUCUCGAGAUUUGACUGUAUUUGGUUUCACAGACUUGUGCAGAAGGGAUGAGGGAAGAGGAUGGCAUACAACAGGAGAGGAGUGGUCAAUGUCUCAUCCUUUGGUGGUGAAUCUGGAAAAAGGAGUGUUGAAAGUGGACAAAUUUACAAGGCAGAAGUAAAGUUAUUCAUUAUCUGCCAUAUUUGGUGCUUGUGCUAGUGAUGAGUGGUCUACUGUUGCAGAGAAAAAUUGAGGUUAUACAGCAUGUAUUUUAAGUUAUGUUAAGGGUGCCCACUGUAUAUGGAUAGCCAUCCUUUUAAGCAUUUCUAUCAAUAAAUCAAUAAAUGUA